rnacentral:rRNA from 1 species
GAUCUGAGAGGGUGGUCCCCCACAAUGGAACUGAAACACGGUCCAUACACCUACGGGUGGCAGCAGUAGGGAAUAUUGCCCAAUGGACGAAAGUCUGAGGCAGCAACGCCGCGUGUGCGAUGAAGGCCUUCGGGUUGUAAAGCACUUUCGUGAGGGAAGAGAAAAGACGGUACCUCACGAAUAAGGAUCGGCCAACUACGUGCCAGCAGCCGCGGUAACACGUAGGAUUCAAACGUUAUCCGGAUUUAUUGGGCGUAAAGCGCGUGCAGGCGGUUUGGUAAGUUGGAUGUGAAAGCUCCGGGCUUAACCCGGAGAGGUCGUUCAAAACUGCCAGACUAGAGGACAGUAGAGGGAGGUGGAAUUCCGGGUGUAGUGGUGAAAUGCUUAGAUAUCCGGAGGAACACCAGUGGCGAAGGCGGCCUCCUGGGCUGUUCCUGACGCUAAGACGCAAAAGCUAGGGUAGCAAACGGGAUUAGAGACCCCGGUAGUCCUAGCUGUAAACGAUGUAGACUUGGUGUUGGUGGUGUAAAAGCCUUCAGUGCCGUAGCUAACGCGAUAAGUCUACCGCCUGGGAUUACGGCCGCAAGGUUAAAACUCAAAGGAAUUGACGGGUCCCCGCACAAGCAGCGGAGCGUGUGGUUUAAUUCGAUUACGCGAAGAACCUUACCUGGGUUUGACAUAUAAGUGGUAAGAAGUCGAAAGAUAACUGACCCUUCGGGGAGCUUACACAGGUGAUGCAUGGCUGUCGUCAGCUCGUGUCGUGAGAUGUUCGGUUAAGUCCGGUAACGAGCGCAACCCUCACUGCAUGUUAUACGUGUCAUGCGGGACUGCCGGUAUAAAGCCGGAGGAAGGUGAGGACGACGUCAAGUCAGCAUGUCCUUUAUUAUCCAGGGCUACACACACGCUACAAUGGUCGGCACAAUAGGUUGCAAAACCGCGAGGUGGAGCCAAUCCUCAAAGUCGGCCUCAGUUCGGAUUGUAGGCUGCAACUCGCCUACAUGAAGUUGGAGUUGCUAGUAAACGCGCGUCAGCACAGUGCGUUGAAUACGUUCCCGGGGAUUGUACACACCGCCCGUCACGUCAUGGGAGCUGGAAACGCCCGAAGUCGGUAUCCUAACUUUCACAAGAGGGAGCCGCCUAAGGUGGGUCUGGUGACUAGGACGCAGUCGUAACAAGGUAGGCGUACCGGAAGGUGCGCCUG